UAUAAAUUUAUUUGCAUAAAUAUUCUUAUAUUUGCAAAUGUAUAUGGUUUACGAAUUCCCGAAGAUUUAAGCAAUCGCCAAGCCGCUAUUCUUGCGAUCACGCGAUUUUGCAUAACGGGGCGCCGUUAUUACUACACUCGUGACAAAAGCAGACCGACAGACCCCUUCUCUGACUUUGUUCGCGCAAGUUACAAUAUAUAAGAUAAAUAAAUAAAUAUACGGCGGCAUGCUGCUUCACAGUGGUGGUGGGUUGGGCGGUUUUUGAUAUCUGCAAAGUUUUCAUUUAUUGGACCUAACGCAACAAUUAGAGAAUUAGGAAAGUAGCGAGAAAUUAAUACAAACUCAUUGCGAAACAUAAGCCAACCUACUUGCUGUUCCACAUGAUAUUCUCAAAAGUUCAAAACCUGGUCAAGGCAAUGAAAACACCUUCUGCCGGUUCUAUUUAUUUAUGAAUACCUUGAAAAUUCAGUCAGCAGAAAGUUUUAACAAUUGAAGAAAUUAUUAACACGAAACUACACUUUAACCUUCGACUAUACCGCCGCCUUCAUUGCAAUCCGUCCGGUUUACGUAUUUCCAGGUGUCUCACCACGACAUAAAAUGCAACAAUUGUAUUUGGCAUUACAACUUCUUAAGAAAACCGGCGAGAGAAAUUUGAUCUUAAAAUUGU